rnacentral:lncRNA from 11 species
AAAAACCCAGAUGCAGCUGCCAUUCCACAGCCAGUGGCAUGGAUUUCUGGGACUUAAAGUCCAAGAACAACUCCACAAUAGGGGAGAAGAAUGGAGAGGAAAACUAGCCCCGUGACUGGCUGAAGAAGAGCAUGUGAUGCACAAAGAAUUGAAACAAUUACUGAAGAAAAUCAAGGGAGAAAGUGGAGAGGUACAUCCCUGUCAUUACUGCGACUCCUUGCUCUACAAGAAUUCCUGCUGGGGAAAAGGUGUUACUAUCGCUUCAGGCUAAUAGUAACUGCCAAGCCUGAUUUUAUGCCUUUCCAU